GAUGAACGCUAGCUACAGGCUUAACACAUGCAAGUCGAGGGGCAGCAUGGUCUUAGCUUGCUAAGGCCGAUGGCGACCGGCGCACGGGUGAGUAACACGUAUCCAACCUGCCGUCUACUCUUGGACAGCCUUCUGAAAGGAAGAUUAAUACAAGAUGGCAUCAUGAGUCCGCAUGUUCACAUGAUUAAAGGUAUUCCGGUAGACGAUGGGGAUGCGUUCCAUUAGAUAGUAGGCGGGGUAACGGCCCACCUAGUCUUCGAUGGAUAGGGGUUCUGAGAGGAAGGUCCCCCANAUUGGAACUGAGACACGGUCCAAACGUCCUACGGGAGCAGCAGUGAGGAAUAUUGGGUCAAUGGGCGAGAGCCUGAACCAGCCAAGUAGCGUGAAGGAUGACUGCCCUA
rnacentral:rRNA from 1 species